AGCUUGGUGGCGGAGGGUCCGCAUCUGCUUUCCAUUUCAAAUUGUCACCAGAGUAAUGCAGACAAAGCCUGUUCGACUCAGGUCCGAGCCA